rnacentral:rRNA from 1 species
CGAUUAGAGUUUGAUCCUGGCUCAGGAUGAACGCUGGCGGCGUGCUUAACACAUGCAAGUCGAACGGAAAGGCUCCUGCUUGCAGGGGUACUCGAGUGGCGAACGGGUGAGUAACACGUGGGUGAUCUGCCCCGCACUUCGGGAUAAGCCUGGGAAACUGGGUCUAAUACCGGAUAGGACCACUUCUUGGAGGUUGUGGUGGAAAGUUUUUUCGGUGUGGGAUGAGCUCGCGGCCUAUCAGCUUGUUGGUGGGGUAAUGGCCUACCAAGGCGUCGACGGGUAGCCGGCCUGAGAGGGUGUACGGCCACAUUGGGACUGAGAUACGGCCCAGACUCCUACGGGAGGCAGCAGUGGGGAAUAUUGCACAAUGGGCGCAAGCCUGAUGCAGCGACGCCGCGUGGGGGAUGACGGCCUUCGGGUUGUAAACUCCUUUCGCUAGGGACGAAGCGCAAGUGACGGUACCUAGAGAAGAAGCACC